rnacentral:rRNA from 1 species
UACGUAGGGAGCGAGCGUUGUCCGGAAUCAUUGGGCGUAAAGCGCGCGUAGGCGGCCCUGUAAGUCCGUUGUGAAAGUCAAAGGCUCAACCUUUGAAUGCCGAUGGAUACUGCAGGGCUAGAGUCCGGAAGAGGCAAGUGGAAUUCCUGGUGUAGCGGUGGAAUGCGCAGAUAUCAGGAGGAACACCAACGGCGAAGGCAGCUUGCUGGGACGGUACUGACGCUAAGGCGCGAAAGCGUGGGGAGCGAACAGG